UUGUCUGUCUGCUAUUCUGUCUGUCUGUCUUAUUGCUAUAGUUUUUUUCUUCUAAGCCAUUGCGCGCAGUGAUAGCACAUUUGCUAUCUCCUUUAUUCAUUCUACCGAUCAGAUUCUUUUUGGUAGCGUGACAUCGAAUAUCUCUCCCACACCCUCCUGCCCUUCUAAGCCUACACACAUUCACCCCGCUUCUCACCCAUCAGUCAGCGUCAGUGUGAUCAACUUACUUGUGCGAUACGAGACGAUUGGUGUGUGUUGUGUGUUUCCUUCCUCCCUCGCGUUGCAGCAUUUGGCUGAUUGAUUGCAAUUGCGUUAACAUGAAUCGGACGAAUGCACCAACGAUGAAUGCACACACAACGCAUGGUAUGAAUGCGCGCACAGCGUAAAAAGAAAAUCCACCCGUUAAUGUGCGCAUCUUAAAUGGAUCGCUGUCAAGCUUCUUAAACAGAUUGUCCGGACUACCAGCAGGCCGGCCUCCGCUGAAGCGGCAUGUAAUAGAUACCCCAGCAGUGUGCAUUGAGACCACGCCGUUAGCAAGCCGGCCUCCGCUGAAGCAGUACGUAAUAGAUGCCCCUGCACCACCAGCAAACCGACCUCCACUGAAACAGGAAGUGAUAGAUACCACUGCAGUCUGCAUUGAGACCACACCGUGGUCACCACAUGAUGCACCACCCACAACCGAGUCGGUAACCAAUGCGGACAUCUUUAAAGCAGUUGGUACUACCGAUUUAUGCAAAUGUACAGAUGUAAAGGUAGGAGAUUUUUUUCAAAACAAGCUAAAACACGCAAAAAAUCGCACAAAUCUGCAGGGUUUCAGGAAGACGAGCUGCCAAAAUAGGCGCAAACUGCCAUGAAACCCAUUCGUGAUGAAGAUAUAUUUUCAAACUGAAUUGAAGAAAUGAAUUAUUAGAAAUAGUUCGUUCGCUCUUUGUUUGUUUCUCUCUAACACCGAAAUAGAUAUGUUACAAGGAUGUUACAGGAAUGAAGUUUUUAUUAAGAAGCCAUGUUUAUAUUUUCUCGUUUAAUGUUAACCCAUUAUUCUUUAUUAAAAAAACAAUAAGACCGUGUAGAGAAAUUAUUAUUAUAUUUUAUUUUCACAAACUAUACACAUACCAGAAUCGAAUAUUUUACUUAAAUAAAAAUCAAGAAAAAACAUUUAAAAAAUAAUGCAGUUCAAAGUUCAUAUCUGUAAUAGCAGAAGUAGUAGUAGUAGUAGUACAGUAGCCUUUACUCUAAACCAGGUAUGUCAAACUGGCGGCCCGCGGGCCGCAUGCGACCCACGUGGAUAAUGAAUGCGGCCCGCGAGAAUAUUUUGAGAAGUGCUGUAAGCACUGCAAAUCAAACAUCUGUUCUUACUAUUUGCGUCGGAUAAAAUUAUAGUAAUUUAACAAAAUUAUUCAUAAAUAACGGGUUCUUGUUAUAAGAAAUGAAUAUACCACCAGAACAUUUGGGACUUGGAAAUUAGCAAAAACUAAUGUUUAAACACGAUUUAGAUUUAUAGAUUUCCCCUACCUCAGUGAAAAAGUAGGGUUGAGCGAUAUUUUCUAACAAAACUGCCGUGUGAGAAGGCGACAAAUGAAAAAUAUCCUAUUUCAAUAAUAAUUAAUUUCAAUAAUUUCAAUAAUAAAGAUAAAAUAAAUAGCAUGUGACUUUAAAAGUAUAUUAAACAUUUUUUUUAAAAGAGCACAAUGAAAACUAACAUCACACAUUUUUAAAUAAGAAACGAUUCCAGAUUUGAAGCAAGGAGUACAAAAAGUCAAUUUGUUUCUUCUUCAUCUUCUUCAUUAGCACAACAAUUGUUGUCGGUCAAGGCCUGCCUGUACCCACUAGUGAAGUGAGCUUGGCUUUCAGUGACUUAUUGUUACCAUAUCAGGAUAGUCAGUCCUACGUAUGAGAGC